GUGCUCGUUUAGGCGUCACGUGUCCUAAAAUUGGAACGACGCAGAGGAGAUUAGCAUGACCCUGGGCAAGCAUGACCGUGAGGCGUUUCACGUUUUG
ensembl:snRNA U6 U6 spliceosomal RNA